UGUUCCCGAACCCCAGAAGCAGCCCAAGUAAAAAAACACCCCGGCCCGACCGCAGUCGUCCCCGACCUCCCCGAUCCCCAAUCCCUCGCUGCACCCCGCGCCGCCGCGUCUCUAGGCCACCUCCGCCGCGCCCCCAGGCCCCCGCCACCGCACCCCCAGGCCCCCGCCGCCGCGCCCCAGACCCCGGUCGCCGCGCCCCCAGGCUCCCGCCGCCGCACCCCCAGGCCCCCGCCGCCGCGCCGCGUUGCUACCUCAGCUGCGACCCCAGGCCCCGGCCGCCGCGCCGCCAGGCCGCCUCCGCCGUGCCACCAGGCCAAGGCCGCCGCACUACCAGGGCACCUCCACCGCGCCGCCUACCUUCCUCGGCUGCGCUGUCAGGCCCUACCUCGCCGCCGCGAUACUCCACCGGCGUCCCACCGUGCCACGCUGCUCUAGCCGGCCUUCCACCUUGCUGAGCUUCCCCAGCCCCCCUCGCACUGCGAUGCUGCCCCACGUCGUUCACAGCCGCUACCCCAGCCCGUUCACCACUGCCAAUCAAUGCCGUUCAACGAGGGGGCGUUCAACAAAAGCAAUGACCUUCAAUGAUCCGGUAGCCGGCGUCCGUCCUACUCCAUCGCCUUUGGUCUUUUUCCAGUUUGAGACAGUGAGAGCCGCCUGGGACGACUCGCGGAGACCACGCUGCACCAUCCACAGCCUCCACAACCCAACAAGAUGAACCAUACACACGAGGAACCUCCCGAGCGCAGCAACUCCUCCGUCCAAGUCGAGCGCUGGGCGCCGUCCAGGUCGAGCACUGGGUGCCGUCCAAGUUAAGUCAUCCAACAGCGGGAGAGCGAGCUUUGCUCCGGGGCAGCCCAUCCUAGAUGCACAGCUGCUCUGCUCUCCACACGAAUUUAGUACAUAAUACUCUCUCUCUCUCAAUUUAUUCAAACCUAUAGCAUGGACACAGUUUGUAUGAAAAAUACCUCUCUCAAGUUCUAAUUUGUUGUACAGAUGCCUUCAGAAAUUAACAAAAUAUAAAUUAUUAUUUGUUCCUUGUUAUAUGACAGGAUUGGAUUGGGUUGUAGUGCAUGUCAGGCUCUAUUGAUCUCCGUCCAUGAGUGGUGCUGCCUCGUGUCCGAUCGACGGCGUCCAUGAGCGCGAGCAGCCCGUAUCCGGCGGCAAGAUGAAGGUCACCCGUGAACCAUGCUUCCCCUAAUCACCUCCACCUUGUGUGAAUUCACUGCUGAGAAUAAGCACAAGCACCUACAGUCCCCCCGGUGGUCUCCUUGGCCGCACUUGGCCACGAGCUCGUCCACCAUGGUGACUGGCAGCCGUCCAAGUGGAACGCAGACAUCAGUCCAAGCAGAACUAGUUCGUAUAAACUGACUGGCAUGUAUAAUUAGGGGAUCCAAUGUUGAAAAGUUCAAUUAAGCUGUGUGUGCAAAUUCAAAGAAUUAUUGUAGGAAAGUUUAGAAGUUUGGUUUCGUGAGGAAAAUGUAUGGUUUUCUAUCAGUAUUUGGUAUGAUUCA